rnacentral:rRNA from 1 species
GACGAACGCUGGCGGCGUGCUUAACACAUGCAAGUCGAACGGAAAGGCCCUGCUUUUGUGGGGUGCUCGAGUGGCGAACGGGUGAGUAACACGUGAGUAACCUGCCCUUGACUUUGGGAUAACUUCAGGGAACUGGGGCUAAAACCGGAUAGGAGCUCCUGCUGCAUGGUGGGGGAUGGAAAGUUUCGGCGGUUGGGGCUGGACUCGCGGCUUAUCAGCUGGGUGGUGGGGUAGGGGCUUACCAAGGCUUUGACGGGUAGGCGGCCCGGGAGGGGGACCGGGCACAAUGGGACUGCGGGACGGACCAGUACCCUACCGGGGGCAAGGGGGGGGAAUAUUGCGCAACGGGGCGGAGCCCGGGAGGAAGACCCCCGGGUGGGGAAAACCGGCUUUGGGGUGUGAACCUCUUUCUGCGGGGAAGGAGGCGUAGUGACGGUAACUGGGUAAAAAGCCCCGGCUAACUACGUG